GAUGAACGCUAGCUACAGGCUUAACACAUGCAAGUCGAGGGGUAACGAGAGGAAAGCUUGCUUUCCUUGUCGACGACCGGCGCACGGGUGAGUAACGCGUAUCCAACCUGCCCCCAACUAAGGAAUAACCUUGCGAAAGUAAGACUAAUACCUUAUAAUUUCCUCAGAUGUCAUCUGACGAGGAAUAAAGAUUUAUCGGUUGUGGAUGGGGAUGCUUCUGAUUAGCUUGUUGGCGGGGUAACGGCCAACCAAGGCAACGAUCAGCAGGGGUUCGGAGAGGAAAGUCCCCGACAAUGGAACUGAGACACGUUCCAAACUCCUACGGGAGGCAGCAGUGAGGAAUAUUAGUCAAUGGGCGAAAGCCUGAACCAGCCAAGUAGCGUGCAGGAUGACGGCCCUAUGGGUUGUAAACUGCUUUUAUACAGGAAUAAAGUUAGCCACGUGUGGUUAUUUGUAGGUACUGUAUGAAUAAGGACCGGCUAAUUCCGUGCCAGCCGCCGCGGUAA
rnacentral:rRNA from 1 species